rnacentral:rRNA from 1 species
AACGAACGCUGGCGGUGCGCCUAACACAUGCAAGUCGAGCGCGAAAGUCCCUUCGGGGGCGAGUAGAGCGGCGGACGGGUGAGUAAUACAUGGGGUAAUCUACCCCCGAGCUUGGGAUAACCCCGCCGAAAGACGGGGCGUAAUACCUGAUAAGACCACAUAACACAAGUUGUGCGGUAAAAGGUAGGCUUGAAUUUAUUCUAGCUAUCACUUGAGGAUGAGUCCAUGGCCUAUCAGCUUGUUGGUGAGGUAAGAGCUUACCAAGGCUAUGACGGGUAGCUGGUCUGAGAGGACGACCAGCCACACUGGGACUGAGACACGGCCCAGACUCCUACGGGAGGCAGCAGUGGGGAAUAUUGGGCAAUGGGCGAAAGCCUGACCCAGCGACACCGCGUGGGUGAUGAAAGCCUUCGGGUUGUAAAGCCCUUUCGUGCGGAAAGAACUGUUCCGCGGUUAAUACCCGCGGAAUUUGACGGUACCGCAGGAAGAAGCACCGGCUAACUCCGUGCCAGCAGCCGCGGUAAA